ACCUGGCUGGCUCAGUCAAUAGAGCGUGUGACUCUUGAUCUCAGGGUCAUGAGUUUGAGCCCCACGUUGGGUG
rfam:Ailuropoda melanoleuca scaffold168_30, whole genome shotgun sequence.